rnacentral:rRNA from 1 species
AACAAAUGCCCUGCUUCCAGGAAAAGCCUCUAAGCAUCAGGUAACAUCAAAUCGUACCCCAAACCGACACAGGUGGUCAGGUAGAGAAUACCAAGGCGCUUGAGAGAACUCGGGUGAAGGAACUAGGCAAAAUGGUGCCGUAACUUCGGGAGAAGGCACGCUGACACGUAGGUGAAGUGAUUUACUCAUGGAGCUGAAGUCAGUCGAAGAUACCAGCUGGCUGCAACUGUUUAUUAAAAACACAGCACUGUGCAAACACGAAAGUGGACGUAUACGGUGUGACGCCUGCCCGGUGCCGGAAGGUUAAUUGAUGGGGUCAGCGCAAGCGAAGCUCCUGAUCGAAGCCCCGGUAAACGGCGGCCGUAACUAUAACGGUCCUAAGGUAGCGAAAUUCCUUGUCGGGUAAGUUCCGACCUGCACGAAUGGCGUAAUGAUGGCCAGGCUGUCUCCACCCGAGACUCAGUGAAAUUGAACUCGCUGUGAAGAUGCAGUGUACCCGCGGCAAGACGGAAAGACCCCGUGAACCUUUACUAUAGCUUGACACUGAACAUUGAGCCUUGAUGUGUAGGAUAGGUGGGAGGCUUUGAAGUGUGGACGCCAGUCUGCAUGGAGCCGACCUUGAAAUACCACCCUUUAAUGUUUGAUGUUCUAACGUGGACCCGUAAUCCGGGUUGCGGACAGUGUCUGGUGGGUAGUUUGACUGGGGCGGUCUCCUCCUAAAGAGUAACGGAGGAGCACGAAGGUUGGCUAAUCCUGGUCGGACAUCAGGAGGUUAGUGCAAUGGCAUAAGCCAGCUUGACUGCGAGCGUGACGGCGCGAGCAGGUGCGAAAGCAGGUCAUAGUGAUCCGGUGGUUCUGAAUGGAAGGGCCAUCGCUCAACGGAUAAAAGGUACUCCGGGGAUAACAGGCUGAUACCGCCCAAGAGUUCAUAUCGACGGCGGUGUUUGGCACCUCGAUGUCGGCUCAUCACAUCCUGGGGCUGAAGUAGGUCCCAAGGGUAUGGCUGUUCGCCAUUUAAAGUGGUACGCGAGCUGGGUUUAGAACGUCGUGAGACAGUUCGGUCCCUAUCUGCCGUGGGCGCUGGAGAACUGAGGGGGGCUGCUCCUAGUACGAGAGGACCGGAGUGGACGCAUCACUGGUGUUCGGGUUGUCAUGCCAAUGGCACUGCCCGGUAGCUAAAUGCGGAAGAGAUAAGUGCUGAAAGCAUCUAAGCACGAAACUUGCCCCGAGAUGAGUUCUCCCUGAGACUUAGAGUCUCCUGAAGGAACGUUGAAGACGACGACGUUGAUAGGCCGGGUGUGUAAGCGCAGCGAUGCGUUGAGCUAACCGGUACUAAUGAACCGUGAGGCUUAACCUUACAACGCCGAAG